rnacentral:lncRNA from 1 species
CAAGCAUCCCAAUACAGGAUGUCCCUUAAAUAGGUUGAGUAUGGAUUCUGGCGUGGCUGAAUGUUGAGCUCACCCCAAGCAUGGUCUGCAGGCUCCUUGGCUCCCAGGAAGCGGUGAGCAGCAAGAGAACUACCAGAACAUUGGUACCUUGACUUCUGAUGUGUGAUGGAGGGAAACGUUUGGAUCUUCUCAGGAGGAUGCAAAUGAAAGCAUGAAGACUUCAGACAUCACAGAGGCUCAGAAAAAACUCAGAAAAAGACAGAGAAUGAGAGAACAGAAGAAGUUGAAGCAGCAGAAUCUUCUUCUAUGAGAUAUUCUUUUUGAAAUUUAUGCAAAGAGAAUGCAGCUUUGUAAAGGGAGCUGAGCAUAAUCCCAAACACUGAUGAGAAUGCUUGGACAAUGAAGAGAUCAAGCCUCCGCACUAACCAGCAGGCCAUCAGGAGGGGGUGGAUGUUUCAGCUCUCUCCUUAAGCCACUGUGCUUUGCAUGAGAUAAUUCAGUAUGAAUUGGACCAGAGAGAGAGAGAGAGAGACAUCAGUGAAUGUAAUUUUUGAACCCCAGAGGCCAGUCAGCUACUGGAGGGAAGGGAGCUGCACUUGAGUCCCACUUCUAAUUAACGUAACUGUUAAUUAGUGUGGAAAACAGCAAAAAAGACCUGCCAGGAGGAUUUCAGAACCCACCAGACUGCAGCCUAACAGUUAGGACAUGCUUGCGUGAGUUUAACUGUUCUUGGUUAAGAGACAGACUUAAAAUCUCUGACUCUUGGAUUAAAAAAAAAAAAAAAAAAAAAAAAAAAAGAAGAAGAAAAAGAAGAAAAAGAAAAAGAAAGACCGGAUAAAAUGGAAAUAGAAACAAAACACUUCAAUUUGCUGAGAAUGAAAUCUGUGCAAACACUUUUUGUAAUCCUCAACUAGAUUCAGAGAAAUGAGUGGUUUUUAAACCCUGACAGUGUAUAAAUAUAAAUUACAUGCUUAGCUGCUCAGUGCCAUCAAAAUGUGCAUGGUUCUGGGCAUACCCUGAAGGAGACAUUUAUCUGCUGGUAGAAGUUGACUGGUGGAAGUGCA